GUGCAGGAUUAGUUACAGAUCAGCUGAAGCAGUGCUGGUUUGUCGUUCCCCCUGCACAAAUCAACCUGUUCCUUUCUAUCCCUGGUUGUCUGCGCCCCACGACUUGCAGGGACGCUGGGUUUCAGACAC
rnacentral:snoRNA from 1 species